ACUUUAUCUUACACAACUUUGAUAUUUUUGAGAAAUCUAGUCUGCAGUUGUUUUGUAGCUGAACCUCAAUUUGGAUUUGUUUGAUUGUUUUCUCAUGAUUAGAUUCCAGUUAAAUUUUGGGGGACAAGAAUCCUACAUGGGUGAUGUUGGGUACUUCUCAGUGCAUCAUAUCAAAAGACACACAAUGUGUAGAUUUGCCUCCUUAUUGGGGACCAGGCACUUUUCUAAGUACUUAACACAUUUAAUUUUAAAACAAUUUAUGUUGUAGGUAUUUCUUUUAUUUCUUAUGGGUUCCAGUACUUUGUAAGGAUGCUGAGAGAUUGUGUCUUGUCUAACUAAGGUCAGCUAUCUAGUAAAUAGUAUAGAGCAGAGUUCUGAGCUCAGUUGUUCUAGAAUCUGCAUACUUAACCACUAACUAACAUUGUAAAGAGACUGAUAACUGAUUUUGUGAUUUUUAUCUUUUACCUACAGGGCAUAUAAGUGGAAUCCAGGAGAUUGAUCUUGAGGCUUGUCGUGAGAAUUCCUUUGGAGAGAGCUGUCAUUGUGCUGUGCAUUCCACUUCUGCCACCCCCAGGCAAGAGUGGUAGAGAGUCAGAGAAUCAUUUAGAGAACUUGACAUGGAGUUUGAGGGACAGAUAGACUGGUACCUGACUCAUCCUAAAAAAGUCAAAAGAACGGUUAUAGGAGCAGAGUCGAUCUGGAAAAGAGUUUUCUCCUCCUACCAUCAUCUCAAAUAGAGAAGGGCCUCCACUGGAAUGCCUCACGACUGUCUGAGAGUACCCCUAACAGAAGGACGAGUGAAAAAUUUUAAAACCCUACAAAGAGAAAAACUCAAAAGAAUUUAGAUUUUCUGAAAAGUGAGACAAUUCCAGUGUAACUUUUCUGAUAUGACCUGACUUACAAUACAAGCUACAGACAAAGCAAUGAAGCUUUCUGCAGAAUACUCUUUUUUUCUUUCCUUUCUUUAAACCAUUUUCUUGAGAUAUAAUUCAUGUACCAUACAAUUCAUCCAUUUAAAAUGUACAAUUCAAUGGUUUUUGAUAUAUAACGUUAUUAAUGUUGAAAAGUAAUAGUAAAAUAAAUAUAGCAUAAAGUUUG